GUGAAUAUUAUAAGAUUGACAAUGUUAAAGUUGAAGAGUUUGUGAACAUAACUUUACAAGGGGAUAUGUAAAUCAAGGUCAAUUACAUGUUCUAAGUAUAAACACUCAAAUUGACACAGACAAUUGUUUGGCUAUAACUCCAUGUGGAAAAUUAGUUUUGUCUUUAUUAAAAGAGACCUAUCAAGAAUUAGGACUAGAAGGAAAAUUAUCACAAUUUUGUAAAAAAGAAGAUUAUCGAUAUAAAUUUGUGACCUGAUGAAACCAUAAUAAUAUUAAGUUCGUAAUAAAAAAGGUUUUAUUUCAAUAAUUGAAUACAAUCAUGCCUAAGAGGAGGCAGCCAAUGUCCUUGGAGAAUAUUGCUCUCCAAAAUUUAACAUCCUGGAUAUGUUUAAUAGGACAAAACAUCAUGCCAAAAAUCACUUACAUGUCCAAGGCCGAGCCUGGAAAUGCUUCUGAUAUCUUACUAAGUGUAAUAAAAUAUCUCAGUGACAUAAUUCAGUAUAACAUGCCUUACAAUCUUUAUGACCGCCUCAGUCAAGAAAUGUUCAAAGCUAUCCCGGAUUUAAUAGAACGAACUAAACGUGCCAUGGAUUUAAGAACCUCUAUGGCUACCUUUU